rnacentral:rRNA from 1 species
GACGAACGCUGGCGGCGUGCCUAAUACAUGCAAGUCGAACGCUUCUUUCCUCCCGAGUGCUUGCACUCAAUUGGAAAGAGGAGUGGCGGACGGGUGAGUAACACGUGGGUAACCUACCCAUCAGAGGGGGAUAACACUUGGAAACGAUAGCUAAUACCGCAUAACAGUGUUUAACACAUGUUAGAUGCUUGAAAGAUGCAAUUGCAUCACUAGUAGAUGGACCUGCGUUGUAUUAGCUAGUUGGUGGGGUAACGGCCCACCAAGGCGACGAUACAUAGCCGACCUGAGAGGGUGAUCGGCCACACUGGGACUGAGACACGGCCCAG